rnacentral:misc_RNA from 1 species
AGCGGCAACAGCUCAAAUUUGAAAUCUGGCUCUUUUAGAGUCCGAGUUGUAAUUUGCAGAGGGCGCUUUGGCUUUGGCAGCGGUCCAAGUUCCUUGGAACAGGACGUCACAGAGGGUGAGAAUCCCGUACGUGGUCGCUGGCUAUUGCCGUGUAAAGCCCCUUCGACGAGUCGAGUUGUUUGGGAAUGCAGCUCUAAAUGGGAGGUACAUUUCUUCUAAAGCUAAAUAUUGGCCAGAGACCGAUAGCGCACAAGUAGAGUGAUCGAAAGAUGAAAAGCACUUUGGAAAGAGAGUCAAACAGCACGUGAAAUUGUUGAAAGGGAAGCGCUUGCAGCCAGACUUGCUUACAGUUGCUCAUCCGGGUUUCUACCCGGUGCACUCUUCUGUAGGCAGGCCAGCAUCAGUUUGGGCGGUAGGAUAAAGGUCUCUGUCACGUACCUCCUUUCGGGGAGGCCUUAUAGGGGAGACGACAUACUACCAGCCUGGACUGAGGUCC